rnacentral:lncRNA from 1 species
GCGUCACUGGUGAGACGGGACUGACUCUCAUCAGACAGAGCUUCCCUGGGUUGGGCUCCCCCUUAGGGAGCUCUCGGUUCCAUGGGGACAGCCUCCUGCCACCAGGCCUCUGUGAUGUAGUCUGGCAUAACUGAUGGGGACACAGCCAGAGGGCUACUUGAGAGAGUCAAAGGGGGGUCCUGGGUGGAAUGGACGAGAGGGGAUGGUUGAAACGGAUGGUGGGGAGAGGUUAGAGGCAAUUAGGGAGCUGAAGAGAGGGCUUGGGGGUGGUCCAGGAGUGGGAAGGAUGGCAUUUUUUUCCCAGGCUAUUCUUAGGUCCUACCGGCUUGGGGAUGAUGUGAGGAUUUAGUGGGGAGGCACAGAAAGCUCAUGGAAGCUCACUCCCACAUGUGAGCUCUCAAACAGUAGAACCCUUUGCUUGUUGGGCUCCUUCCCAGUGUUCACCUCGGCUCACGUUGUGUGGGGGUCCCCCAGCUUCCCCAAACUGUGGGCUUUUCUCACCAGCUAAAACGUCGUAUGUCUGUGUGAGGCUUCCACUUCAGAAAAGGUUCUACUCUCCCAAAGAGUUCAGCUCUUCUAAUUUCUGGAAAGCUAGAAGUUAUUCCAGAGGGUCUCCAGCAGGCAGGCCCUGUUAUUCAGAGACCCCCGGCGGCUUCUUCCCAGUGGCUGGCCAGGUUACAGCCAUCUUUCCGCUGAAUCUCUCCGUGUCUCAGCUCCCUGCAUUUCAGGGCACCUCAGCACAUUGUCAAGCUGUUUGGCUUUGGACCGCAGAGCAGUCAAAUAUGUUUUCAAGGGAGAAAGGGGAAAAGGAUCCCCCCCGCCCCAGCAGAGACUUCUUGGGAUACAGCCACAGGCAUGGCUGGGUCUCCAGAUUGGAGCUGGAGCUGAGAAACAGUCUGGAUGACAGGCUGGUGAGAGACCACCGGUUCUCAGGGCCCUGCCUGGUGUGGUUCCUCCAGCAAAGGUUCCUUUGGCAUCACGGAAUAUCCGCUUGCUUCUGGAAAUGUCUUCAGCAUCUCCUCUCUCCCUCUGCCCCAGCGACACGGCUGGAUUCAGGGAAUCAAACCAGGCUAUUUUAGUUUGUGAGAUGGUGAAAUACAUUGAAAGUAGCGAGAGAAAAAAAAAGUGUGAGCGAGAACAUGCCCGCUGCUUCCGCUGGGAUCCUCCCUGGCUGUUCCUGAGUUUUCCAUGGAAAGCACUUAGACGCUCAGAACAAAAGCUAAGUGGUGUGUGUGCUGCAUUUUUCUUUUAGAACCAGGAGGGAGG